rnacentral:rRNA from 1 species
CAGCCGCCGCGGUAACACCGGCGGCCGAGUGGUGAUCGUGAUUAUUGGGUCUAAGGGUCCGUAGCCGGUUGGUCAGUCCUCCGGGAAAUCUGAUAGCUCGAACUAUUAGGCUUUCGGGGGAUACUGCCAGACUUGGAACCGGGAGAGGUAAGAGGUACUACAGGGGUAGGAGUGAAAUCUUGUAAUCCCUGUGGGACCACCUGUGGCGAAGGCGUCUUACCAGAACGGGUUCGACGGUGAGGGACGAAAGCUGGGGGCACGAACCGGAUUAGAUACCCGGGUAGUCCCAGCCGUAAACGAUGCUCGCUAGGUGUCAGGCAUGGCGCGACCGUGUCUGGUGCCGCAGGGAAGCCGUGAAGCGAGCCACCUGGGAAGUACGGCCGCAAGGCUGAAACUUAAAGGAAUUGGCGGGGGAGCACAACAACGGGUGGAGCCCUGCGGUUUAAUUGGACUCAACGCCGGACAACUCACCGGGGGCGACAGCAAUAUGUAGGCCAAGCUGAAGACUUUGCCUGAAUCGCUGAGAGGAGGUGCAUGG